rnacentral:rRNA from 1 species
AUUGAACGCUGGCGGCAGGCCUAACACAUGCAAGUCGAGCGAGCGGCGGACGGGUGAGUAAUGUCUGGGAAACUGCCUGAUGGAGGGGGAUAACUACUGGAAACGGUAGCUAAUACCGCAUACUAUCAGAUGUGCCCAGAUGGGAUUAGCUAGUGGGUGGGGUAACGGCUCACCAAGGCGACGAUCCCUAGCUGGUCUGAGAGGAUGACCAGCCACACUGGAACUGAGACACGGUCCAGACUCCUACGGGAGGCAGCAGUGGGGAAUAUUGCGCAAUGGGCGCAAGCCUGACGCAGCAAUGCCGCGUGUGUGAAGAAGGCCUUCGGGUUGUAAAGCACUGUCAGCGGGGAGGCGUUACCCGCAGAAGAAGCACCGGCUAACUCCGUGCCAGCAGCCGCGGUAAUUC